rnacentral:rRNA from 1 species
GAGGAAUAUUGGUCAAUGGACGGAAGUCUGAACCAGCCAAGUAGCGUGCAGGAAGACGGCCCUAUGGGUUGUAAACUGCUUUUAUACGAGAAUAAUUUGAUGCACGUGUGCGUUAUUGCAUGUAUCGUAUGAAUAAGGACCGGCUAAUUCCGUGCCAGCAGCCGCGGUAAUACGGAAGGUCCAGGCGUUACCCGGAUUUAUUGGGUUUAAAGGGAGUGUAGGCGGUUUGUUAAGCGUGUUGUGAAAUUUAGGUGCUCAACAUUUAACUUGCAGCGCGAACUGUCAGACUUGAGUACACGCAACGUAUGCGGAAUUCAUGGUGUAGCGGUGAAAUGCUUAGAUAUCAUGAAGAACUCCGAUUGCGAAGGCAGCAUACGGGAGUGUAACUGACGCUUAAGCUCGAAGGUGCGGGUAUCGAACAGGAUUAGAUACCCUGGUAGUCCGCACAGUAAACGAUGGAUGCCCGCUGUUAGCGCCUGGCGUUAGCGGCUAAGCGAAAGCAUUAAGCAUCCCACCUGGGGAGUACGCCGGCAACGGUG